ensembl:lncRNA TPRXL tetrapeptide repeat homeobox like (pseudogene)
UCUGGAGAUCUGUUUUCUGGUUUUGGCUGUGCCAUAAACGAUUAUUUAUGAAAACUGCAAUAGUCAUCAUUUAAAGUUAUGGAACUGUGUCCGGAAUUGGUGGGUUCUUGGUCUCACUGACUUCAAGAAUGAAGCCGCGGACCCUUGCGGUAAGUCAGGGAUUUCUUCUUGGUUUGGAUCCACUGCUGGUGAGCAGACAGAGUCUUGCCCUGUUGCCCAGGCUGGAGUAUAGUAGUGCAGUGGUGUGAUCAUAGCUCACUGUAACUUCGACCACCUGGGCUCAAACAAUCCUUCUUCCUCUGCCUCCCAAGUAGCUGGGACUACAGAACAGAGCAGGACCCAGGAUGCAAGACCCUAGGCAUCCCCAAGGCCUUCCACUGUCCCCAGGCCUUCCAAAGAGACAGCGGCAGGACCGCACAAUCUACAACUGGAAACAGCAGGAAGUGCUAGAAAAUCACUUUAAGGAGGAACAGUACCCAGACUAUGACACACGACAAGAGCUGGCGGAGAUGCUCAAUCUCAGGGAGUACCAAGUGCAGGUGUGGUUCAAGAAUCGCCGGGCCAAACGCUCUCGGGAGCGGUGGUUCCAGAAGCAGCUCCAGCAGCUCCAGAAGCAUCCUCAGCAGCAGCAUCCUCAGCAGCAGCAUCCCCAGCAGCAGCUCCAGCAGCAGCAGCCCCAGCAGCAGCCCCAGCAGCAGCAGCCCCAGCAGCAGCCACAGCAGCAGCAGCCCCAGCAGCAGCAGCUCCACCAGCAGCCCCAGUAGCAGCUCUAGCAGCAGCAGCAGCAGCCCCAGCAGCAGCAACUCCAGUAGCAGCUCCAGCAGCAGCAGCCCCAGCAGUAGCUCCAGCAGCAGCAGCAGCAGCCCCAGUAGCAGCUCCAGCAGCCCCAGUAGCAGCUCCAGCAGCAGCAGCAGCAGCCCCAGUAGCAGCUC